AUAGAGAGAAAAAGAUACUCAUUAUUCAUUAAAAUACAAACUGUGACACAGCUUUCACAAAAUAAAGUGACAAGUGAUGAAUCCCCUCGCUUCCCAAAAACCAUGGCAGCACCAAAGUACAUUUUCAUCAUUUUUAAAGGUGAUUACUGAAAGUCCAAAACCAUGUACAACUAUGGUAUUUUUUUUGUACGUCCUUCCACAAAUCAUCUUAAUGAUUAUGCUCUUUCUGUAGUCUUUCCAAGUUUGUAGGCCUUUGAUACGGGCCUGUGCGUGACUCUGGCUGCAGGGUUGAGGAUGUUAUGCUCCACCCUGGGCCGGUACAGCUCGCUGAAACUGCUGUGUCCUCUCAUUAUGGCUGCCUGUGCCCCUUUGGAUGUGGCCUUUGCCUACAUCUGCCUAAAGCCCUGUGUUUACUCUCAGCUUGUAAUGAGCUGCCCUUAAGCCUGUAGGGCUUUCCCGGGAUAGAAGGAGAGGAAAAAAUGAGCAGGGAGGGAGAAGGGGAAACAGGAGCUGUAGUGGAAGUUGCGCGGGUGAACUGAGGGUAUUUUAAAGAGAGUCUCUAAAGCAGAGGGGUCACAGCGAGGUCACCGUGCUGACUCUGGACAGCAUUGUUGAUCGCAUCGCACACUCCUGCUAGGACUUAGCGCCCUGCUGUUAGGAAUGCGUAUGGGUUCACUUGUUUGAUUUUGAGGGUUUAGCUAAGACAGAGAAAGAAAUGGGGUGAAUUUAUAUGCACAGUGUUGGACUGCAUGUGCUGGCGUUAAAAGUGAAAACAAGCAUUAUCAUCUGACUAAAGCUCCCGGUGGGAUGCUGUGGCUUACACAAGCAAGUCUCAUAGUCGCUCAGAAAUCCAAUAUGUAAAUCCACUUAACGCUGCCUCAACAGAAAACACACACACCCCCCAUCAGAGCUAAACUAAUUCAGAAAGAAAGACAGAGGGGAAGACAUCAAGGACCUUUCCGUAAUCCUUCAAGGCAGGUGGACCAAAGAUUAUCUCCAGCUGUGAGGGGCCCUGUUACUUAGGAGUGUCACAGGCCCCUGGUUCUCUGGGCUAGAGACAUCCUUUGAUGCCGCAUCUGCGGGACAAGUAAUUAUGAAGAAAGCUAAGCCGUACCCUAUCCUGUCCUCUUGAGUGGUUAACUUUUCUGUGCUGAGAGACACAUCUCACCCGAUGGCUAAUCGAUCAGCGUCUCCUACGUCCUCAUUCAAUCGUUCACGUGCUCAAGUGCGUCCAACCAGCUGCUCAAACACUCUAAACCUGGAAAAAAAGCCCUACCACAAAUGUUGACAUCAUUCCUUAAAGGGAAAAAAGAAAAUCAGUCAGACUACUGUGGUGGCUUUGGAGUUUUUACAGAGCUUGCAAAUUCAGUCUUUUAAAAGAGCGGAUUAACAUACCACACUGGGCACAUAAUGGAGUCAGAGAAACACAAGCCCUGCAGAACACAUGAGCAUUGCAUUCCCGUCUGGAUCUGGAGCAUGGAUUGGUGUAACUGAGGCACACGGUGACAGCGCUACAAUACAGGAAGAUGUUUACAGGGCUUCCUGCCAAGGAGUUCUGGAAAUGUACCUAGUUACGGAUUACUUCCACGUUAGGCUGAGAAAAUAAAAGCUUCUUUAUCGUUUAGCGGAAAGUGAGCUGUACGGAACCAAACUUGAUCUUCUACCAGGACUUUCUAACACUAUUUCAUUGUUAUAUGAAAAUAUAACAUUUAACUGUUAACGGAAUGUUCCAGGUAUAAAACAAGUUAAGCUUUAUCAAACACACGACUUACUGCCUAGUUUAAAAAAAACAAAAACAAAUAAAAACUGUGUUUACACUGGACGUCUAUAGUUCAAGGCAUUUUGGAGAGUUGAAAAGCAUAAAUGUGCACGUUGUAUUUUUGUUAAGUUCUUAUAGCAAUUCUUCCUUAUGGCUUUUUGUUUCUGAGACCCAACAUGCUAACAGUGGUUUAAUCAGUGGUUCUCAACGAGUUUCAAAAUGACUUAAAAUGAUUCAACACACCAAAUAAAUAUCGUUCUUGACCCCCUCAACAGGUUUAUUGAUUGAUUGACUGACUGAUUGAUUGAUUGAAUCAUGAUUGAAUCAACAGUUCCCACC